rnacentral:rRNA from 1 species
CAGUCGCCGCGGGAAUACGAAGGGUGCAAGCGUUAAUCGGAAUUACUGGGCGUAAAGCGUGCGUAGGCGGUUUGUUAAGUCUGCUGUGAAAUCCCCGGGCUCAACCUGGGGAUGGCAGUGGAUACUGGCAAGCUAGAGUGUGUCAGAGGAUGGUGGAAUUCCCGGUGUAGCGGUGAAAUGCGUAGAGAUCGGGAGGAACAUCAGUGGCGAAGGCGGCCAUCUGGGACAACACUGACGCUGAGGCACGAAAGCGUGGGGAGCAAACAGGAUUAGAUACCCGAGUAGUCCCUGUCUCUUAUAC